GGCUCCGCGGCUCCUCCGGCGCGCGAGCCCAGUACUUUACUUGAGAGCACGAGUCGGAGCAAGCGACGCUCGGGGGAGCGAAACUGAAGUCAAUGACAUCAGCCACUGCUGCACCCCAGCAGCCACAAGGCCAUUGGCAGGUGUUCGGCUUUUCUAUCAACGCCAUCGCGUCCAAGUCUGCUGCUGUGAGCCUACGCAGUUCAGUGUACCACGAUGAGAACAAGAAUUACACCCAUCCUGCCCUCCCAGCUGCCCCAUAACUUGGUAGCCACCCCGGCCUUUUAAAGAUUGGAACUAGCUACGAUGCCACAGCUCAGACAUGGGCCACAGGGUGGCUCUCAUCUUGCACUGAUGGGGUCAACCCCACUAGCUGCUGUAAGGAGCCUCUCCAGCUCCACCCUUGGUCUGAGAACGACUAUGGGAAGAAGCAAGGAAGAGACACCGUGGGGAACAGACAGACUCAGCUGACUCUGUGGAGAGGCAGCUGCCAUGCUGCAAGGAAAUCUCCUUGAGUGAGAACCUGAGGCUUCCUGCCAACAGCCACGUGAGUUCAGCAUCUCUGAAGGGCAUCCUCCAACCCCAGUCAAGCCUUCAGAUGACUGCAGCCUCAGCUGACCUCCUGAUGGGAACCACAUAACAGACCCUGAACCAGAGCCACUCAGCUAAGCCACUAUUAAAUUCCUGCCCCACAGGAAAUCUGACAUUUUUUUUGUUUAUUAUGGUGUGAGGUUAGGGUCAAGGUUUGUUUUUAUUCCACAAGCAUGUCCAACUUUGUGAGCACCAUUCAUUGAACAAUUAUCCUGUCUCCACUGAAUUACCUUGGGGCCUUUGUCAAAGAUCAGUUGGUCAGUGGGAUUUACCCCAGGAAUGCCAGAAUAGGUCAACAUAAGAACAUCAAUCAGUACACCACAGUGAUAGAAUGAAGGAAAAAAAAAACAUGAUCAUCUCCUACACAACAUCACAUCAUAUACACAAGAUGAGGAAAAGCAUUUGGCAAAUUCCA